UACAGAGGUCUCAAGCGUUGUUCGGAUUCAUUGGGCGUAAAGGGUGCGUAGGCGGCGCGGUAAGUCGGGUGUGAAAUCUCGGAGCUUAACUCCGAAACUGCAUUCGAUACUGCCGUGCUUGAGGACUGGAGAGGAGACUGGAAUUUACGGUGUAGCGGUGAAAUGCGUAGAUAUCGGGAGGAACACCUGUGGCGAAAGCGGCGCACUGGACCACAUCUGACGCUGAGGCGCGAAAGCUAGGGGGAGCAAACAGG
rnacentral:rRNA from 1 species